GAGGUCUUAGCUUAAUUAAAGUAUCUGAGUUGCAGUCAGGUGAUGUGUAUUGUAGUUUCACAGGCCUUC
rnacentral:tRNA from 1 species